AUGCGUUGUUGGGUAGGGGAGCGUUCUGUAAGCCUGUGAAGGUGUGCUGUGAGGCAUGCUGGAGGUAUCAGAAGUGCGAAUGCUGACAUAAGUAACGAUAAAGCGGGUGAAAAGCCCGCUCGCCGGAAGACCAAGGGUUCCUGUCCAACGUUAAUCGGGGCAGGGUGAGUCGACCCCUAAGGCGAGGCCGAAAGGCGUAGUCGAUGGGAAACAGGUUAAUAUUCCUGUACUUGGUGUUACUGCGAAGGGGGGACGGAGAAGGCUAUGUUGGCCGGGCGACGGUUGUCCCGGUUUAAGCGUGUAGGCUGGUUUUCCAGGCAAAUCCGGAAAAUCAAGGCUGAGGCGUGAUGACGAGGCACUACGGUGCUGAAGCAACAAAUGCCCUGCUUCCAGGAAAAGCCUCUAAGCAUCAGGUAACAUCAAAUCGUACCCCAAACCGACACAGGUGGUCAGGUAGAGAAUACCAAGGCGCUUGAGAGAACUCGGGUGAAGGAACUAGGCAAAAUGGUGCCGUAACUUCGGGAGAAGGCACGCUGAUAUGUAGGUGAAGUCCCUCGCGGAUGGAGCUGAAAUCAGUCGAAGAUACCAGCUGGCUGCAACUGUUUAUUAAAAACACAGCACUGUGCAAACACGAAAGUGGACGUAUACGGUGUGACGCCUGCCCGGUGCCGGAAGGUUAAUUGAUGGGGUUAGCGCAAGCGAAGCUCUUGAUCGAAGCCCCGGUAAACGGCGGCCGUAACUAUAACGGUCCUAAGGUAGCGAAAUUCCUUGUCGGGUAAGUUCCGACCUGCACGAAUGGCGUAAUGAUGGCCAGGCUGUCUCCACCCGAGACUCAGUGAAAUUGAACUCGCUGUGAAGAUGCAGUGUACCCGCGGCAAGACGGAAAGACCCCGUGAACCUUUACUAUAGCUUGACACUGAACAUUGAGCCUUGAUGUGUAGGAUAGGUGGGAGGCUUUGAAGUGUGGACGCCAGUCUGCAUGGAGCCGACCUUGAAAUACCACCCUUUAAUGUUUGAUGUUCUAACGUUGACCCGUAAUCCGGGUUGCGGACAGUGUCUGGUGGGUAGUUUGACUGGGGCGGUCUCCUCCUAAAGAGUAACGGAGGAGCACGAAGGUUGGCUAAUCCUGGUCGGACAUCAGGAGGUUAGUGCAAUGGCAUAAGCCAGCUUGACUGCGAGCGUGACGGCGCGAGCAGGUGCGAAAGCAGGUCAUAGUGAUCCGGUGGUUCUGAAUGGAAGGGCCAUCGCUCAACGGAUAAAAGGUACUCCGGGGAUAACAGGCUGAUACCGCCCAAGAGUUCAUAUCGACGGCGGUGUUUGGCACCUCGAUGUCGGCUCAUCACAUCCUGGGGCUGAAGUAGGUCCCAAGGGUAUGGCUGUUCGCCAUUUAAAGUGGUACGCGAGCUGGGUUUAGAACGUCGUGAGACAGUUCGGUCCCUAUCUGCCGUGGGCGCUGGAGAACUGAGGGGGGCUGCUCCUAGUACGAGAGGACCGGAGUGGACGCAUCACUGGUGUUCGGGUUGUCAUGCCAAUGGCACUGCCCGGUAGCUAAAUGCGGAAGAGAUAAGUGCUGAAAGCAUCUAAGCACGAAACUUGCCCCGAGAUGAGUUCUCCCUGACUCCUUGAGAGUCCUGAAGGAACGUUGAAGACGACGACGUUGAUAGGCCGGGUGUGUAAGCGCAGCGAUGCGUUGAGCUAACCGGUACUAAUGAACCGUGAGGCUUAACCUUACAACGCCGAAGGUGUUU
rnacentral:rRNA from 1 species